CAGAAGUGUGUCUAGGGUUCCGUCUAAUUAAUUAUUAGAGUCUGGACCAAGCGUCACAAGGUAUCUAAUCGAUACUACACUUUUAGGAUAAAAGCCUGAGAGAU
rnacentral:sRNA from 1 species